GUCCAGACUCCUACGGGAGUCAGCAGUGGGGAAUAUUGCACAAUGGGGGAAACCCUGAUGCAGCGACGCCGCGUGAAGGAAGAAGUAUUUCGGUAUGUAAACUUCUAUCAGCAGGGAAGAAAAUGACGGUACCUGAAGAAGAAGCCCCGGCUAACUACGUGCCAGCAGCCGCGGUAAUACGUAGGGGGCAAGCGUUAUCCGGAUUUACUGGGUGUAAAGGGGGCGCAGACGGCGAUGCAAGCCAGGAGUGAAAGCCCGGGGCCCAACCCCGGGACUGCUCUUGGAACUGCGUGGCUAGAGUGCGGGAGGGGCAGGCGGAAUUCCUGGUGUAGCGGUGAAAUGCGUAGAUAUCAGGAGGAACACCGGUGGCGAAGGCGGCCUGCUGGACUGCAACUGACGUUGAGGCCCGAAAGCGUGGGGAGCAAACAGGAUUAGAUACCCUCGUA
rnacentral:rRNA from 1 species